rnacentral:tRNA from 1 species
GGGCCCGUAGCUCAGUGGUAGAGCAUUCGACUUUUAAUCGAAUGGUCGAUGGUUCGAAUCCAUCCGGGCUCA